UUCAUCAGUUAUGAGAACAUAGUGUGACAAGAUAACUUCCUAGGUGAAUUUAGCCAUUGCAUAUACAGGAAAUGCUGACAAGGAUUUGUCAGUCUGAAUUGGUAAGUGACUGUACCAUUUCCUAAAGGCUAGAAUAAGAUGUAAAAUUUUCAUAAUGCUGUAAAGAAGGUCUGUGUGAUAAUUCAGAAUUUUCUCCUGGGUCCACAGAGAAGUAAUGUAUAGUCAGCACCACAAAGAAUCUGAAAUCAGAAGGACACCAUGCAGAACCAUAGAAAUAGAGAAAGACUGCCUUAGAAUGGAAAAGGCCAUACUUUUGAUUUCUGAACUUAAUGUAAAACAUUGAUUUAUAUGCAACACAUACAUAGGGAUAUGGAAGCAGUAAGCAUGCAUUUGUCUUUCACUUUGGUUGAAAAGAAGAGCCUUGACUGCUUGACCUGAAAGACUGAAUAUGUUAAGUGCAUGUGGUGCAACGAUAGAAAGACUUACUGAAUAGCUGCUCUAAAACAAGUAUCAGAUUCUGAAAGGACUUACCAUAUGCUCUGAAUACAUGACUAUGAAUACGCACAUACUUUGACUGUGAAGUUUCUCAAACCACCGUCGUGCACAACCAUAGUACCUUCUAAAAUGAGGGUUAUCAUGCAGCCUUCUCACCUGCUAAUAUUUGUACUCAUCUUGAGUCCCUGCCUACACUGGUACUGGCACCAGAACCUGAUCACCAGCUGACAGAGGUGGAAUGUGAAAAAAUAGGACUCACAAAUGCUCGGAGAAGCAUUUUAUAUCAUACAUGCACACCUGAAACUGGGAGAGGGCCUGCCUUCCAUUAUUGUGUCUCCAUACAUGGAUCCAGGGCUGAGUCUAGUAGCGUAUUCUCAGUUCUUUGUGCUGAAAUUCUUUGCUUCCUUCCCCAGUUACACACCAGCUGUGUGAGACUGCUCAUUUUCUCCUGGGGAGAAUUGUGGAAGAGCAGGAAAGGUCUGCCUUUGCUAUGGACUUAGGAAAAACCUCAGUUGAACUUCAACUCAUGAAACUGAAUUUAUGAAAACCUAAGAAUCACAUCUUAGGAUGGAAGAAAAGAGAGGUAUCAUCUCACUCGUCAGAGAGGGAAAAAAGCUUAUGCAAGAAGAAAAUGAGACCUGGAAUUGGGUAGCAACAGUAGUAUAUGUCUUGCUAUUUUGUACCUUGACGCAUGAAAACGAUGAAGAAAGAUAACUCUGAUGUCUUUAAAUGUCUGUUUAAAGCAGUGAAAAUAAGGUAGGGCAAAGCAGGAUCUGGAAUCUCCAUGAAUUUCAACACAUAUUUUUAUGCCACGAUUUACCACUCCUGAGGAAACACAACAAAAAGAGUUAAAGUAGGAAAGCCAUCUAAUUUUGAGCUAUGAAACUUGUAGAAGUUCAAUCUGUUCUGUAGAAAAAGAGAAAGAAAACUUUUCAUCUUGCCUAUAUUCUGUGUGCUCUGUGUACACAGACAAUGCAUAAAUUCCUGCUGGGAGUAAUAUUUGUAUAUUGUAAUGUAAUUAUCUGAAAAAACCCUAUGCCGAAUUAUCAAGAAGUUGUAUUCAUCCUAUCAUUUAUCUAGACAUUAUACCGAUUGUGUGAAAAAUGCCUGAAAACUUCAGUUUCUUUAACUACUUUUUUAGUUUGGGGGGGGGGGUUAAAUAAUUUAAUAAAAUUUAUAAAUAAGAACAUGUUUUCAUGAAGCACAAAUAACAAAAAAAAAUGUACACUGAACUUUUAUUCCUACAAAUACUUCCAUGUACCAUCUGACUUAUCUGGUAAAUGUUUCCCUGUGUUUUGUUGGAAAACAUGGAUCACAUUCAGCUCUGGAUUCAAUCACUCAAAUAUUAGUUUUAAUCAAACAGGUGUUUACACAUUAGCUAGGGACCCAAGCGCCAUGACGGUGUAGUUAUGAGAGUCUAUAUUUCUUCCUGAAAUAAGCAUUUACAUUUGGUCAGCUCAAUUGCUCUUCAGGCUCGAUUGGUAGGAAUCUCUCUCCCAAACACAGACACUGGCUGUCCUGCUCCAGAAGAGAAGAUGUCUCCCACCAACCCAGAACGUAUCCCAGACAAGGUGGCUUGGAUGACUUCAGGCACCCGUGUGCAGGCAAACAAACUGAACCCUUAAGUAAAACCCAAACUUUAUGACUCAAAAUACAUCUUUAUAAUGAUAUCAGAGUCAGAAGCAAUUAGGAUAAAAAUUGUGAUCACAUUAGUGAGACUACUUGAAAGAAAGAAUGUCAAGAAUCAGCAUAGGAAAUCUAAACCUUUAUGUUCUGUCAAAGCCUAGUAUUUAAUAGAAGGUGUUCAUUUGAGAGACUAUUCAACUGCAUGUCAGCUGUACUUUUAACCCCAAUAAUUCAUACUGCUUUAAAAACUUGUUGUCAAUAAGCAUUAAAAAUCACUUUGAUUACUGAAAUUAAAGCAUUCCUCCGAAAAAAUACAAGUAAUGUUCCAGCAGUGUUCAUAAAUGUUAUUCAUCGCAAACAUCAUGUUUAUAAUUCCAGCAUAAACAGAGAAUAAGUGAUGACAUCAAUUUCUGCAAGUGAAGAAGCAAUGUAUACCAUGAAUUCUCUUUUCAGCUCUUUCAAAACCGGAACAUUGCACUGCAAAACUGAAAUUGGAAGCAAACUCCUAACAUCCUUUCAAAGCAAGCAUUUUAUAUUAAUGAGCUGUAUAUUCUGGUAUCACCCAUUCAUCUAAUUUUUUCCUUAUGUGAAUUUUCUUGACAUGUGUUUUCUCUAUCUUUGGGUGAAACUGACCUGUGAAUGUAGGAUGUUGCAUUGGUAGGACUUCACUGCCAGGUUACAAUUCAUGUAACCUGUCUUACAUGCCUCUAGAGGUAUCCACUUCUUUCUAUCAAUAAUGGGAGAAGUUAUCUCGAAUUCAGCUUAAUUUUAGACAUCUGAAGCCAGGGGAAAUAAUAAUAUCAUAUAUGUUCAUCACCUUAGAAGACCUACAUUGCAUACAGUUUUCCGAAAUGGAAAUAUUUUCACACAGAACCACAGUCUUACAGAAUGAGCGAGGCUGGAAGGCACCUCUAGGAUGGUCAAGUCCAAGAGCAGGGUCAGCUAGAGCAGGUUGCUCAGGACCUCGUUCAGUUGUGUUUUGAGUAUCUCCAAGGAUGGAGACUCCACAACCUCCCUGGGCAACCUGUUCCUGUGUUUGACCACUCUCGCAGUAAAAGAGCUUUUCCUUACGUUUAUCUGGAAUUCCCUGCGUUUCAGCUUGUGCCUGUUGCCUCUCACCCUGUCACUGGACACCACUGAGAAAAGUCUGUCUCUGUCUGAAAUAAGUA